rnacentral:snRNA from 1 species
GUGCUCGCUUUGGCAGCACAUAUACUAAAAUUGGCACGAUACAGAGAUUAGCAUGAGCCUGCACAAGGAGAACAUGUACAUUCGUGAAGUGUUUCUUUUUUUU